rnacentral:rRNA from 1 species
GAUGAACGCUGACAGAAUGCUUAACACAUGCAAGUCGACUUGAAUUUGGGUUUUUAACUUAGGUUUGGGUGGCGGACGGGUGAGUAACGCGUAAAGAACUUGCCUCACAGCUAGGGACAACAUUUGGAAACGAAUGCUAAUACCUAAUAUUAUGAUAAUAGGGCAUCCUAUAAUUAUGAAAGCUAUCAGCGCUGUGAGAGAGCUUUGCGUCCCAUUAGCUAGUUGGAGAGGUAACGGCUCACCAAGGCGAUGAUGGGUAGCCGGCCUGAGAGGGUGAUCGGCCACAAGGGGACUGAGACACGGCCCUUACGCCUACGGGAGGAAGCAGUGGGGAAUAUUGGACAAGGGACCAAGAGUCUGAUCCAGCAAUUCUGUGUGCACGAUGAAGUUUUUCGGAAUGUAAAGUGCUUUCAGUUGGGAAGAAAGAAAUGACGGUACCAACAGAAGAAGUGACGGCUAAAUACGUG